rnacentral:tRNA from 1 species
GCCGCCUUAGCUCAGCUGGCAGAGCACUUGACUUGUAAUCAUGAGGUCUUCCGUUCGAAACGGAAAGGCGGCU